AUGACAGAAAGAGAACCAAGACUUAAAGAUCUAUGGUGCAUAGAUUCACGACACUCGUUUAAAUUCAUGUUUCAGCAAGCCAAAAUGCAAGACAUAAUAAAUACCUCGAUGCAAAGAAAUGAUGAAAUGAGGCUUACCAAUCGGAGAACAACCCAAUGCAUCUUCGACGGAGGCGAUAAUAAGAGAAAUCUAGCGAUCAUCAAUUUCUUGUUCAGAGAGCGAAGGUGUGUGAUAUGA